UCUCCGUUGGUGAACCAGCGGAGGGAUCAUUAAAGAGUUGCAAAACUCCCUAAACCAUUGUGAACAUACCUUCAACGUUGCUUCGGCGGGUUGGCUCCGGGUCUCCCGGGGCCCCCGGCCCUACUCGGGCGCCCGCCGGAGGUAUCUAACUCUUGACAAUUGUAUGGCCUCUCUGAGUCUUUGUACUUAAUAAGUCAAAACUUUCAACAACGGAUCUCUUGGUUCUG
rnacentral:misc_RNA from 1 species